UUACAAAAUGUACACUAACUGGGGACUGUAAUGUGUAUUUGCUCAUGUCAUUAUUGACAUAUUUGGCCUGGACCUGCGAUCAUCGAUCUCUAAACAUAUUUUUUGUACUCUACUACCAUCGGUAUAUAUUUCAUCUAUCAUUGGAAUCUUCCUGGAUGAUUAUAUCCACCGCUGUGUAUCAGAUUGUGAAAAUCAUGGCUACAUAGUAGCAAUAAUCCUGUUCAUUUCGUCCUGAAGAAGACCCACGGUGAAACGCGUAGGCGACUUCAAUAGGAUUCUUUCACUAUUCUCUUGUUCUGAAUGGUUGUAUUGCGAUUGUUAGCAGUUGCAUUCCAUUAUACCAUUGUUAGUGUACAUUUUGUAAAUUUAUGUAAUAAAAUAUAUAUUUUU